AGUCGAACGAGAAAGGGGAGCAAUCCCUGAGUAAAGUGGCGUACGGGUGAGUAACACGUGGAUGAUCUACCUCUUGGUGGGGAAUACCUCUGGGAAACCGGAGACAAUACCGCAUAAGCUCGGAAGAGGAAACCCGCAAGGGGCCGAGAGAGGAGUCCGCGGCCGAUUAGCUAGUUGGUAGGGUAAGAGCCUACCAAGGCGAAGAUCGGUAGCCGGCCUGAGAGGGCACACGGCCACACUGGCACUGAAACACGGGCCAGACUCCUACGGGAGGCAGCAGUGGGGAAUCUUGCACAAUGGGGGAAACUCUGAUGCAGCGACGCCGCGUGAGCGAUGAAGCCCUUCGGGGUGUAAAGCUCUUUCGACGGGAACGAUAAUGACGGUACCCGGAGAAGAAGCUGCGGCUAACUACGUGCCAGCAGCCGCGGUAAUACGUAGGCAGCAAGCGUUGUUCGGAGUUACUGGGCGUAAAGAGUGCGUAGGUGGUGCCCUAAGUCUGUUGUGAAAUCUCCCGGCUUAACUGGGAGGGUGCGGUGGAAACUGGGGUGCUUGAGUGUGGGAGAGGUAAGCGGAAUUCCUGGUGUAGCGGUGAAAUGCGUAGAUAUCAGGAGGAACACCGGUGGUGUAGACGGCUUACUGGACCACGACUGACACUGAGGCACGAAAGCGUGGGUAGCAAACAGGAUUAGAUACCCUGGUAGUCCACGCCCUAAACGAUGCAUACUUGGUGUGAGCCAUUCAUUUGGUUCGUGCCGGAGCUAACGCGUUAAGUAUGCCGCCUGGGGAGUACGGUCGCAAGGCUGAAACUCAAAGGAAUUGAC
rnacentral:rRNA from 1 species